UUUUUAGAUUAUUAAAUUGCAAAGCUAAUCAUCUAAAGGCAAGGUCCGCCGUACCGGUCCGGAUCGGCGUACCGGUGGCCGGCCGGACCGGUACGGUACCGGUCCGGACCACUUUCUUUCCCAUCAAAAAAAAAAAAAACCACAGCGAGGCGCUGUGGUCCCCCCCCCAAAAAAAACACCGUACCGGUGCGAACCGGCCGGUUCGCACCGGUACGAGGCCGGUACGGGCCGGUACGGCAUUCCUUGUCUAAAGGUUUUUAAUAAUUUAAUAUGUUUUGAAAGGAUGUCUAGUCUGUUAUGCUUGACUGAUUUUGUAUUUCUUCAUUAUGUUUUUUUUUAACAUUUUUGCUUUUCUAAUUUACAUUUUUCAAUUUCUUUUCAUAUUUAGCUGAAACUGUUGAACUAGAGUAAAAGCGUGGAAACUGCCAAACUAGAAGCCAUUUUUUUCAACCUAAACCAAAAUCAAAACCAACUUCUCAAACGUUCACAUCCUUCUGUGGUUUAUCUAUUUAAACCCAUAUUUUUAUGUGAACAGAGCAUCCUGCUCAUUUUUUAUCUUUUGCUUGUAAUUUGCAAUUAUGGUGUCAUCUUUUGCAUUUUCUGUUCUAUGGAAAUUGCUUUUUCCUCUUGUGUACAGUACAUUACAUAUAUCAUCUUGUUCUAAAUGGUGAAUAUCUCUUGGCUUCACAAGCACCAGAAAUUCUAGUAGAACAAUUUUUUUUUUUGUCAUUCCAGUGGUAACGUUUAGACCAUCUUCUAUGCUCGUGCUUCUUAGGCAAGCUUGGUUUUU
rnacentral:lncRNA from 1 species